AAGAUAAGGAUUAAAAAUACUGCCUGGAACAGAUGCAAAGUGAAAGUCGUACAGGAAUGGUUUAUGACACUCAGAGACCUGCUGCACCCAUGACCAAAACAUUUCCAGGUAUUUCCUCUAAACGUUCAUCAAGAUCAUGCGGAUGGUUGCAGAAAUCUGAAGCACUGCUGGAAAAGGGAGAGGACCAGAUGCUGGGAUCCACGCUCWCCCUGAGCAUGUCUCAGAUACCAAGAAGCCUUAGAAAGGUUAUCACUGUGAUAUAUAUGAUGAGAAUACUACUGUGUCUGAGGCAUCCAGGAUUGAACAGCGACUGGAGGAUCAGGGAAGAGUUCUUUGGUGGAAGCUCAGUUAAGAGCAGACUGAGGUGAAUGAAGGUGUGGUAAUAAUUAUAUUGUCUUCUUAACUGAUGAUAUGUACUUGCUACAUGUCCCUUGGAUUCCCAGCCUGUCAGUCUUCCUGUUGUUUUCAGACAAUCAAAUUGCCUCGGUGACCAAAAU
ensembl:lncRNA